AGCAGUCGCCACGGUAAUACGUAGGUCCCGAGCGUUGUCCGGAUUUAUUGGGCGUAAAGCGAGCGCAGGCGGUUAGAUAAGUCUGAAGUUAAAGGCUGUGGCUUAACCAUAGUACGCUUUGGAAUCUGUUUAACUUGAGUGCAAGAGGGGAGAGUGGAAUUCCAUGUGUAGCGGUGAAAUGCGUAGAUAUAUGGAGGAACACCGGUGGCGAAAGCGGCUCUCUGGCUUGUAACUGACGCUGAGGCUCGAAAGCGUGGGGCGCAAACAGGAUUAGAUACCCCGGUAGUCCCUGUCUCUUAUACA
rnacentral:rRNA from 1 species